UCCCUAUAAUGUAAUAUUCUCAAA
rnacentral:snRNA from 1 species